AGGACUGCCUGCAAAAUCUGAGAUUGGGCUUUGAAAGACAUCAACCUUUGCUUGCGAGAGAUAAUGGUAACUGCAGAUGCCAGAGAAUGCGAGAUAACAAUGUGUGGAGCUGGAUGAACACAGCAGGCCAAGCAGCAUCUCAGGAGCACAAAAGCUGACAUUUCGGGCCUCGACCCUUCAUGCGAGAGAACGUAACGUUUUUAAAGAAGAAAUUGCCCCAGUCAAACAAGAAGUCAAAAUAUUAAAUGAUCUGGCCAGUCAAUUAUCUCCGCUUGAUGUCUCUUUCUCUCCAAAGAUUUCUCACCAGCUUGACGACCUAAAUAUGAGGUUGAAAUUUAUACAGCAGCAGGAGGUGAGGAGGCAGAGACUGCAACCCUGAGGUCACGGAGGGAAGGAAAAGAGGCUCUUACUUGGAGAUUGAGAAGCAGGAGAGGGCACAACCCAGAGGUUUGGGAGUGGAGAGAGGCUGCAAGUUGGAGGUCAAGCCACCAGACUCAGAGUACCUGUUGGGACCAUCCAAAAAUGACUGAACAUUUUCACUCAUUAGGUAAGUAGAUUGAUAAUAGGACUCUGGUUCUGUGCCACUGUCAGAUCAUUGCGACUCCAAAAGGUACCAAAGUAAAUUCUGGAUUCUAGGCAAAUAUACCUAUGUGUUUAAAUCUAUUUAGGUGCAUUCAUGUAGGCUAAAAAUACUUGAAAUAAUGUAUAAUUAGGAGUGACAGACAACAUCUGUGACAUUAAAUGAAAAACAAGAACAAAGAACUUUGGUUCAUAUUUCAGCUUCGACAGGCACUAAACAACUAAAAGCACUGUAUAACCAAUGAAGUAAGUUUUUGAAGUAUGUUUGUAAUGUCGGAAACACAGCAACAAAUAUAUGCGCAGAAGGCUUUCACAAACAGAACUGUAAAAAUGACCACUUACUUUGUGAUAUUGAUUGAAUGCUAAGUGUUGGCCAGAAUGUAGAUCCACUGAACUGAAUACAGGUGGUUUGUGGGUAAGAAAGUCUUAACCCUUUGGACAAACCUAAUUUUAUUUGUAAUUUAUUAGCAAUAACUGAAUUGUGCAGUUUAAGUUCAGAAGUUCCCAAUUUUAAGUGGAGUUUUAACAAAUUCACCUUUGAAGAGCGUUUGGGCUUGAUUAACCCAAGUCUCAACUGAGUUAACUCAGCCUUUUGUGUUAGGGAUGUAUAAAUUAUCCAUCUUAGGGGAGGCGAUGGCCUCAUGGUAUUGUCACUGGACUGUUCAUCCAGAGAGACAAAUCAUGUUCUGGGGACCUGGAUUCAAAUCCCGCUGUGGCAGAUGGUGGAAUUUGAAUUCAAUAAAUAUCCGGAAUUCACAAUCUGAUGAUGACCAUGAAUCUGUUGUUGCUUGUUGGAAAAGCUCAUCAGGUUCACGAAUGCCUUUUAGGGAAGGAAACUGUCAUCCUUACCUGGCCUGGUCUGCAUGUGACUCCAGACCCACAGCAAUGUGGUUGACUUUUAACUGCCCUCUGGGUAAUCAGGGCUGGGCAAUAAAUGCUGCCUCGCCAGUGACGCCCUCGACGAGAUUGAAUCAAGAAAAAAAAUUACGAUUGCCUUUUCUAACUUCUCAGCCUUCAGUAAUUGAUUCUCCCAGUGCUAGAGAAGAAGUGGUGACUGUGGCUUAUUCUAUUCCCAAGGUUUAACAUGAUGCAACUGAUGGUAAAGUUAAUAAGCUUUAUGAAAACAUAAGUAAAUAUAUAUAAUUAAAUAAAAAUAGCAAAGUCAUUAAUUAGAACUCGGCUACAACAUGUAAGAGCUCCUGUGUUCCAGUAUGGUCUGGUGCAAGCAUGUUUGCUGUAAGCACUUAAUGUUUGAGUAGCUUGUGUUUAUGAGCUGGAGGCUGAUCUAGGGAUGCUGGGACACAUCAGGAGGGGAGCAAGUUACCUGGAUUCUUUGCACCAAGAGGCAGUCACAGCCCUUAAGUUUGUGUUUGUCUGAUUUGGUCAGUCUUCAGGCGCAGGAGAGGUCGAUGGUGGAGGUUCAUUACGCUAAUACUGGGGAAAGUAGGACUGUCCUGUGGUGAGUUAUGGAUUCAACUGGGCCUGUGUUCAUGAGAGUUUAAAAAGAUGAGGGGGGGAUCUGAUUGAAAUAUAGAAAGUUGGAACUGAGCCAGAUGAACUCAAUGCAGGGAAGCUAUUUUCCCUGUUUGUGGUGCUGGGACCAGGGGUCACAGUCUCAGAAUUUGGGGUAGAUCAGUUAGGACUAGGAUGAGGACAACAUCUCGUCAUUCAAGCAGAGUGAAUCUGUGAAAUUUUCAACCACAGAAGACCAUGGGGGCCAUCACUGAAUGUAUUCAAGAACAAGACAAGGUGGCUCGGUGGCUCACCACCGCUGCCUCACAGUGCCAGUGACCUGUUUUGAUUCCACCCUUGGGUAACUAUCCAUGUGGAGUUUGUACAUUCUCCCUGUGUCAGUGUGGGCUUCCACCAGGUGCUCCGGUUUCUUCCCACAGUCCAAAAAUAUGCAGGCCAAGUGGAUAAGGCAUGGUAAAUGCAUAGUUAUGGAGCAAGGAUGGAGGGGCCAGUCUUGGACACGAUGCACUUCGAAGGGUCAGUGUCGACUUAAUCAGCUGAAAACAUUUUGCAUUGUAGGGAUUCUUUGAUUUUGUGAUAGAUUUUUAGAUGUUAAAAGAUUCAAUAAGUAUACAGGAAAGUGGGAAUAUGAUAUCGAGAUGUAAGAUCGGCCAUGAUCUUAUUGAAUGGUGGACUUGGCUUGAAGGGCUGAUUGGCUUAUUCCUGCUUCUAGUUUCCAUGUUCUUCUGUGACUGAAUGAGGCUGAUAGCGGAACUAGAAUGCAUGAGCUUUAGGGUGGAUGUGCAAAUUGACUAUCGCACUGUGGUAAAAAACACACUUUCAAAGGGGCUUGAUAAACGCAACGUAGUAUAAUCAGUGGGAUUGACACUAUUCUGUGCAGCAAAGAGUGAGAGUCUGUAACUGUGGAAGCCAUUGCCACAGAAGACUGCGAAGGCUAAGUCAUUGAGUGUAUUUAAGACAGAGAUAAAUAGGUUUGUGGACUAGUAAGUGCAUCAAGGGUUACGGGGAGAAGGCAGGAGAAUGGGGUUCAGAAGUAUGUCAGCCGUGCUUGAAUGACAGAGCAGACUCAGUGUGCAGACUGGCCUAAUUCUGCUCAUAUAUCUUAGGGUCUUAUUUGCUCAGACGGGAAAAGACCUUGCGGUGGGAGGUGGAGAAUCCAGACAUUGUAGGCAGGACAAAAAAGGAGUUUGUGAAUAGUUGUAAUGAGGAAUUUGGCACCAUGAAGCAGAGCCUUCAAUGUCAUAAUCUCUGGAUGCAUAAUGUGUUGGGCAGAAAGGCUUAUUUCCAUGCAGUGUGCCACCAAGAUUCUAACUCCAGACAAACAUAUCCAUCUUCUUUGCGCUCAAUCUGACUCCUACGAGCAGGGAGCUUUCCCCCCAUUCCCGUUAAAACCAGUUUUGCUCAGUUCCCUGGAUGCCACAUUUGGUCAAAUGUGGCCUUGAUGUCAAGAACAAUCACUGUCGCCCUCACUCCCUCACCUCUUUUUUGUCCAUUUUUGAACCAGGGCAUCAAUGAGGCCAGGAGCUGGGUGGCCCUGGUAGAAACCCAACUGAGUGUUAGUGAGUAGGUGAUGCCUUUAUUUUCACCUACUGUAGUCCCAAUCAUGCAACUCUGUCAAUUGCUGCCCCUGCCAAGCGCUGGAAGCCUCCCCAGCGUUAUCCAGACAGCAGAAAAUUUGUUUCAGGAAGACGAGGACCUGCCCUGUCAAAUUUCAUGUGGAUGUGCUGUUGCACAUGCACAGAGCGUGAUAAAAGGGAGUCAGCAUGGCUUUGUGAUGGGCGGGUCAUGCCUUACAAAUCUGAUUGAGUUCUUUGAGGAGGCCAUGAGACAGGUUGACGAGGGGCGAGCAGUGGAUGUGGUGUACAUGGACAUCAGCAAAGCAUUUGAUCAGGUUCCCCAC